AAAAGAGACCAAGUCCAGCCCACAAAGGGGCCAGAACAUAACUGAAAACCCUAACAGAGAAAAAAAAAAUGCUCUCUCUGUGAACAGUAGCGCGAGCACUGUAGCAGUGGCGAAAUGGACCCAUAGCCGCCGUCCGGUGGUGUUGAACCACCGGACCUAUCCCAUUUGAAGCACAAUUUAAUUCCUUACAAACCCCAGCAACAAUCAUCCAUCAAUUUUGCUCCAUCAGUGGCGAAUUUGCAGAACAAAAUUGCGUCAGUUUCAGCGAUUUCGCCUGAAGAACUGCGCAGAGCUCAGCAAAUUAUUUCCCUUGUGGAUUCUGGCCAAAUUCGUGUUCCAUCACUGCCAACUGGUGCUUCGUCACUGCCACCAGGUUACAUUAUUGCGACCAGCAGCAGCUGCUACUAUGCAGACCACGUGAGAUUAGUAUGGCAUUUCAAGUUUGCAGGAUCUGUGCCAGUUGCAUGGUACAUUACUGCAACAUUCCAAUUGAUCCAAGAGCAGGAUUAUUGGCUAAAUGAUGCAUCAAGGGAUCAAACUUGGGAUAUCAUUUGGUUGAUAAACGUGAAUGGCAACAGAAUUUUAACUCAAUUACAACAAGAGGUUACAUUAUUUUAUACAAGUUUUUAUUUAUUGAUAAUUGCUCAGUGUGUGGUAUUAGCACUUGGUGCUCAUUCCAUUGAGAGAUCGUCGAUAAAUGAAACUUGUAUGCUAUAGAGAUAUGAAGCGUUGAUACGACCAGCAGCAGCAGCUACACAAUAUGCAGGCCAAGCGCACACAGUAGAAAAUUCAGCAGCGGAGGAGGAAUUUGUGGCUAUUCUUAGAAGGAAGGAAUUCAUCAAGGUUGAAACCAUUAUUGGCCUUUUGGUGAUACAAGAACCUGUGGACUUGGAAGCACAAGUUGGCAACGUUUUGAGGGAAAAAAAAGUAUUUGUUCACUUCAGAAGAAAGUACUUUUUUUAUCACUUAAAAAAAAAAAAGUACUUUGUUUCAAUUAAUACUUUUUGAGAGGAAAAAAGUAUUUUUCUACUUCAGAAUACUUUGUUUCAAUUAAUAUUUUUUGAGAGGAAAAAAAAAAGUUCUUUUUCUACUUCAGCAGAAAGUACUUUUUUAUCACUUAAAAAAAAAAAUUACUUUGUUUCAAUUAAUACUUUUAGUCAUUUUAGAGGCUUAAAAAAAAAAAAAAAAAAAAAAAAAAAAAAGAA